GCACUGCUGAAGAGUCCCAUAAUAGGACGAAACAGCUGUCCAGUGC
rnacentral:hammerhead_ribozyme from 1 species